rnacentral:rRNA from 1 species
CCCGCGGCCUAUCAGCUUGUUGGUGGGGUAAUGGCCUACCAAGGCGACGACGGGUAGCCGGCCUGAGAGGGCGACCGGCCACACUGGGACUGAGACACGGCCCAGACUCCUACGGGAGGCAGCAGUGGGGAAUAUUGCACAAUGGGCGCAAGCCUGAUGCAGCGACGCCGCGUGAGGGAUGACGGCCUUCGGGUUGUAAACCUCUUUCACCAGGGACGAAGCGAAAGUGACGGUACCUGGAGAA